UCUUAGCAUAGUGGACAUGGCAUCUGCCCGGUAAGCGGAACACUGUGGGUUCGAUUCCCAUCCCUGGACAC
rnacentral:tRNA from 1 species